rnacentral:misc_RNA from 1 species
GAUGAAGAACGUAGCGAAAUGCGAUACGUAAUGUGAAUUGCAGAAUUCAGUGAAUCAUCGAGUCUUUGAACGCACAUUGCGCCCUCUGGUAUUCCGGAGGGCAUGCCUGUCCGAGCGUCAUUGCUGCCCUCAAGCACGGCUUGUGUGUUGGGCUCCGUCCUCCUUCCGGGGGACGGGCCCGAAAGGCAGCGGCGGCACCGCGUCCGGUCCUCAAGCGUAUGGGGCUUUGUCACCCGCUUUGUAGGACUGGCCGGCGCCUGCCGAUCAACCAAACUUUUUUCCAGGUUGACCUCGGAUCAGGUAGGGAUACCCGCUGAACUUAAGCAUAUCAAUAAGCGGAGGA